rnacentral:sRNA from 1 species
GCCAGGUACAGAGGCGAGCACCUGAAGUCCAGCUACUUGGAUGGGAGGCAGAGAUAGGAGAAUCCCCUGAGCCCAAGAGUUUGAGGCCGGCAUGGGCAACAAUGCAAGACCCUGCCACCU